CCUACGGGUGGCUGCAGUGGGGAAUAUUGGACAAUGGGCGAAAGCCUGAUCCAGCCAUGCCGCGUGUGUGAAGAAGGCCUUCGGGUUGUAAAGCACUUUCAGUGGGGAAGAAAGCCUUGGGGCUAAUACCCUCGAGGAAGGACAUCACCCACAGAAGAAGCACCGGCUAACUCCGUGCCAGCAGCCGCGGUAAUACGGAGGGUGCGAGCGUUAAUCGGAAUUACUGGGCGUAAAGCGCGCGUAGGCGGUCUGAUAAGCCGGUUGUGAAAGCCCCGGGCUCAACCUGGGAACGGCAUCCGGAACUGUCAGGCUAGAGUGCAGGAGAGGAAGGUAGAAUUCCCGGUGUAGCGGUGAAAUGCGUAGAGAUCGGGAGGAAUACCAGUGGCGAAGGCGGCCUUCUGGACUGACACUGACGCUGAGGUGCGAAAGCGUGGGUAGCAAACAGGAUUAGAUACCCCUGAGUC
rnacentral:rRNA from 1 species